UACGUGGGGUGCGAGCGUUGUCCGGAAUUAUUGGGCGUAAAGAGCUCGUAGGCGGCCUGUCGCGUCGGUUGUGAAAGCCCGGGGCUUAACCCCGGGUCUGCAGUCGAUACGGGCAGGCUAGAGUUCGGUAGGGGAGAUCGGAAUUCCUGGUGUAGCGGUGAAAUGCGCAGAUAUCAGGAGGAACACCGGUGGCGAAGGCGGAUCUCUGGGCCGAUACUGACGCUGAGGAGCGAAAGCGUGGGGAGCGAACAGG
rnacentral:rRNA from 1 species